UACGAAGGUCCCAAGCGUUAUCCGGAUUUAUUGGGUUUAAAGGGUGCGUAGGCGGUCCUAUAAGUCAGUGGUGAAAUAUCGCAGCUCAACUGUGAGGGUGCCAUUGAUACUGUAGGACUUGAGUGAAUUUGAGGUAGGCGGAAUUGACGGUGUAGCGGUGAAAUGCUUAGAUAUCGUCAAGAACACCGAUAGUGAAGACAGCUUACCAAGCUUCAACUGACGCUGAGGCACGAAAGUGUGGGGAUCAAACAGG
rnacentral:rRNA from 1 species